rnacentral:misc_RNA from 1 species
GAUGAAGAACGCAGCGAAAUGCGAUACUUGGUGUGAAUUGCAGAAUCCCGUGAACCAUCGAGUCUUUGAACGCAAGUUGCGCCCGAAGCCAUCAGGUUGAGGGCACGUCUGCCUGGGCGUCACAUAUCGUUGCCCAAUGCCUAUUGCAGUGCAAUAGGAAUUUCUAGGGCGAAUGAUGGCUUCCCGUGAGCGUUGUUGCCUCGCGGUUGGUUGAAAAUCGAGUCCUUGGUAGGGUGUGCCAUGGUAGAUGGUGGUCGAGUUAGAACGAUACCGAUCAUGUGCAUGCUCCCCAAAAUAUGGCCUCUAUGACCCACACGCGUCUUUUGACGCUCAUGACGAGACCUCAGGUCAGGCGGGCUACCCGCUGAAUUUAAGCAUAUCAAUAAGCGGAGGA